rnacentral:rRNA from 1 species
UACGUAGGGGGCAAGCGUUGUCCGGAUUAUUGGGCGUAAAGCGCGUGUAGGCGGCCAGAUAAGUCCGCUGUGAAAUCUCGAGGCUCAACUUCGAGCUGUCGGUGGAAACUAUCUGGCUAGAGUCCGGAAGAGGAGAAUGGAAUUCCUGGUGUAGCGGUGAAAUGCGCAGAUAUCAGGAAGAACACCCGUGGCGAAGGCGGUUCUCUGGGACGGUACUGACGCUGAGACGCGAAAGCGUGGGGAGCGAACAGG